GAUGAACGCUGGCGGCGUGCCUAAUACAUGCAAGUCGAGCGAACAGACGAGGAGCUUGCUCCUCUGACGUUAGCGGCGGACGGGUGAGUAACACGUGGAUAACCUACCUAUAAGACUGGGAUAACUUCGGGAAACCGGAGCUAAUACCGGAUAAUAUAUUGAACCGCAUGGUUCAAUAGUGAAAUACGGUUUUGCUGUCACUUCUAGAUGGAUCCGCGCCGCAUUAGCUAGUUGGUAAGGUAACGGCUUACCAAGGCAACGAUGCGUAGCCGACCUGAGAGGGUGAUCGGCCACACUGGAACUGAGACACGGUCCAGACUCCUACGGGAGGCAGCAGUAGGGAAUCUUCCGCAAUGGGCGAAAGCCUGACGGAGCAACGCCGCGUGAGUGAUGAAGGUCUUCGGAUCGUAAAACUCUGUUAUUAGGGAAGAACAAAUGUGUAAGUAACUAUGCACGUCUUGACGGUACCUAAUCAGAAAGCCACGGCUAACUACGUG
rnacentral:rRNA from 1 species